rnacentral:snRNA from 1 species
GCGCUCACUCCAGUAGCUCAUCUACUAAAACUGGACCAAUGCAGAGAAGGUGAGCAUGGCCCCUGCGCAAGGAUGACGUGCACAUUCGUGAAGCGUUCCGUGUUUCC